rnacentral:rRNA from 1 species
AUGUGCAAGAGCAAGCACAGCCGCUGCAAGCAGGGGAACAGAGGCUAUACAUGCCACUGUGAGGAUGGCUACAACGGCAACCCCUACGCCGCCAACGCUGGCCAGGGAUGCAAAGGUUAGCACAAAUAUAUGGCUAGCUUGAUUUACGUUGGAGCUGGGCUUGCGAGUGCUGGGGGGCUCAUAGUUUCAGUUCUUGUUGGAUGGUUCAUUUCCAGCAAAGCUAAACACCAAAAGGCACAAAUGUUGAAGCGAAAGUUCUGUGACCAAAAUCGUGGACAGCUUUUGCAACAAUUGGUUUCACAGAGAGCUGAUAUUUCUGAAAGGAUGAUCAUACCCUUAGAAGAGCUAGAGAAGGCAACCAACAAUUUUGAUAAAGCUCUUGAGCUUAGUGGUGGAGGGCAUGGUACAGUCUAUAAAGGGAUUUUGUCAGACCUCCAUGUGGUAGCCAUCAAGAAGCCAAAGAAGAUUAUUCAAAGGGAGAUUGAUGAGUUCAUUAAUGAGGUUGCUAUACUAUCACAAAUCAAUCACCGAAAUGUGGUAAAACUUUAUGGUUGUUGCCUUGAAACAGAAGUACCAAUGUUGGUCUACGAGUUCAUAUCCAAUGGAACCCUUUUUGAUCAUCUUCACAUCGAUGGACCAAGAUAAUUAUCAUGGGAGGACAGGCUUCGGAUCGCAGUUGAAAGAGCCAAAUCUCUGGUCUAUCUUCACUCUACAGCUUCAAUGCCCAUCAUUCAUAGAGACGUCAAGUCAGUUAACAUACUUUUGGAUAACACUCUCACAGCAAAGGUAGCAGACUUUGGAGCUUCAAGAUAUAUUUUAGUGGAGAAAUCGGGGUUAACAACAAUGGUUCAAGGUACAAUAGGAUAUUUGGACCCUAUGUAUUUCUACACAGGGCGACUCACGGACAAAAGUGAUGUCUACAGCUAUGGUGUCAUGCUCGUAGAACUCCUGACUCGACGGAAACCAUUUUCAUAUCUGUCUUCUGAAGGUGAAGGCCUUGUUGCACACUUUGUUGCAUUGUUUGAGGAGGGUAAUUUGUCACAGAUAUUAGAUCCACAAAUUACAGAUGAGGGAGGCAAAGAAGUUGAAGAAACAGUUGCACUUGCGGUAGCAUGUACAAAAUUAAGAGGGGAGGACCGUCCAACCAUGAGGCAAGUUGAGCUGACACUUGAAGGUCUUCGACCAUCCAAGGAGUAUAAUAUUUUACAUGAAUUUGGCACCAACAAACUUCAGAACAGUGGCGUCGCUAUAAAUUCUCCAUCAACCAUAGAUGGGAGAAGCAUUGACGGACCGACUAGACAGUACAGUAUGGAAGAAGAGUUGGCCAUGUCUUCAUGCAAUCCUCGGUUGUACUAUUGA